rnacentral:misc_RNA from 1 species
UGAAAGUUGUCGAAGUUUGGUUGAUGCUAAAAAGAUAGUGCAAGAAAGUCUUGCUGAUGUCAUUAACAUUAAGCUUGCCAAAGUUGGGGUGCUUGGGGCUCUGGAAAUUAUUGACUUGGUGAGGUCCUCGGGCUUAAAUCUGAUGAUCGGUGGUAUGGUUGAAACCAGGCUUGCCAUGGGCUUUGCUGGUCAUCUAGCCGCUGGCCUUGGAUGUUUCAAAUUCAUUGACCUAGACACACCCCUUCUGUUGG